UAGAAACAGGCUGGUUUUCUGUCUCGCAUGAACAUCCUUAAAUUUAUUCACAGUGUUAAUACAAUUUGCAGGAUAAUUUCUACUUGCAUUCUGUAAAUAUAGUUCAGGUGUGUGUAUAAUGGGACGAUUAUUGAUGUGUUUGUGCAGGGAGAAAGAGAUUGAAAAUGGAGCUUCAAGAUGAAUUCUAGAAGCAGCACCGCCUCUGACUGUGAGGAAAAAUAGGCAAACCUUUAAUUCUUUCUGGUUCUUGAUUUCUUUUUAAGACUCGUCAGCUAAAGAAAAUGAGGAGGCUUGAACCAAGGCCAAUGUAAUUUUUUCUACCCGAAGGAAGCCUUCAAGCUGCCUGGCUCUGAGAGAGAACGCUGACGGUGGGGUUGGAUGGGGCUGACUGUUCAUCAGCAUAUGACUUCUUUAAGGACAGCGCAUUUGUCUGGAGGAAUUAUCCACAUUUCAUGGAUAAUUAAAAGCUGGCUAUUGGCCAGGCACGGUGGCUCUCGCCUAUAAUCCCAGCACUUCGGGAGGCCGAGGCAGGCGGAUCACGAGGUCAGGAGAUCGAGACCAUCCUGGCUAACACGGUGAAACACCGUCUCUGAUAAAAUACAAAAAAUUAGCCAUGCGUGGUGGCAGGCGCCUGUAGUCCCAGCUAAUCCGGAGGCUGAAGCAGAAGAAUGGUGUGAACCCGGGAGGCAGAGGCUGCAGUGAGCCGAGAUCACGCCACUGCACUCCAGCUUGGGCGACAGAGUGAGACUCCGUCUCACAAAAUAAAAAAAUAAAAAGCUGGCUAUCUUAUUUCCAUUGAACUGUGCAUCUUUUGGGUGUAGUGGGGUAACCCUGUGUGCAGUGUUUUCCAUCUCAAUCUAUUCCCUUUGAGCUUGGUUAUGGGUCCAUUUAUGAUAUGGGCUCACAGCCCAUAAUGUGGGCUUAAGGAUCUUAAAAUUACAAUUUUAAGAUCCUUCAAUUCCAUUAGUUUGGAGGUAGGAUAAAAUUGAUUUGUAAAGGGAAUGCCUUUAAAAUGAAGUGCUGAUUAUUUUCUGAAUAAUUGAUUCAUGUAUAUGGUACCUAAUUUAAAGGCACAAAAGGGUAUACAGUAAAAGGAAAAUCUUCUUAUCCCUGGUUCCAGUCACGCAGUUCCCUUUCCUCGAGGCAAUCACUGAUACUGUUUAUGAAAGGAAAACCUAUCUCCUCAAUCCACUCAGGCCUUGUGUCAACCCAGGACAGGGGCAUGGCAGGGACCUAUGAUAUUCUGGAGAAGCUGGAUUGAGCUACAGACCGAGACUCACUAAAAUAGCGCUCUGGUCCUGUCUUAAGAGAACAGCUGAGCCACUGCCCUUGAGGAGUUCAUCUAGAUCUCUUAGGCCUCUGUAGCCUCACCUGUGCAACGGGGAUAAUAAAGCCUAGUUUACUCUUCUCAUGAGGUUAGAUUUUUAGAUGCGAUAUAACAGUAAAAGUUCUCUGGAAAAAUGAAUAACAAUAGCAGCUGCAUGCAGACAAAUGAAACUAGUUUACCCCAUUAGGGUCCAAAAAUAGGAUAAAUAUUUUCUUUCACAUAUUUAGAAUUCUGUUUAAUGUUUCAAUAAUUUCUGCCUGAGCUAAGAUAUAAAUGUAAAAAUAAAGAAUUAUGGAACCUAUUGUCACUAGGCUCUAAUUAGUUGGCUCCACUAUUUUUGACCCCUUCUGAGGUAAAGGAAGCUUUAGGAUUUAGGUAGAUUGUUUUCCCAUGCUAGGUAUUGAAUGCUGGCACUUCUGUGCAGGGGUGAAAAAUGGAGAAGCAGGACCUAGUUUGCACAAUUCCUAGCUGGUGACCGUGGUGGGUUCCGGAAUAGUAUGGUG
rnacentral:lncRNA from 1 species